CGCGGGGUGGAGCAGUUUGGAAGCUCGUCGGGCUCAUAACCCGGAGGUCGUAGGUUCAAAUCCUGCCCCCGCAACCA
rnacentral:tRNA from 1 species